UGGGGGAUAUUGCACAAUGGGCGAAAGCCUGAUGCAGCGACGCCGCGUGGGGGAUGAAGGCCUUCGGGUUGUAAACUUCUUUUGCUCUGAACAAGGCGCACCAUGGGGUGUGUUGAGUGUAGGGGUUGAUUAGCGCCGGCUAACUACGUGCCAGCAGCCGCGGUAAUACGUAGGGCGCGAGCGUUGUCCGGAAUUAUUGGGCGUAAAGGGCUUGUAGGUGGCUGGUUGCGUCUGUCGUGAAAGCUAAUGGCUUAACUGUGGGUUUGCGGUGGGUACGGACUGGCUUGAGUGCAGUAGGGGAGGCUGGAAUUCCUGGUGUAGCGGUGGAAUGCGCAGAGAUCAGGAGGAAUACCGGUGGCGAAGGCGGGUCUCUGGGCUGUUACUGACACUGAGGAGCGAAAGCAUGGGGAGCGAACAGG
rnacentral:rRNA from 1 species